UAUGGCACUCCAUCCUUCAGUAAAUAUGCUCCAUGUGGAUAUUUAUAGUCCUGCCUGCUCCCUUCAGUGAGAACAGGACGUUCUUUCUCCCAUAAGCUCUGUACAGCUGCCAGGAGAGAUGGUGGAAGCCUUUCCUCCCCUCACCUACUGUGGAUGUUCAUUGGUUUCAGUUCCACAGCCCCUGCAAUAUCCAAGGAUCUGUGUCAUAAAGCUCAAGUGGAGAAAUGCUUUCUCAGGUGAUCCUUCACUUUUUGCUGCUAAUUUUCAAUAUUAAGAAUGAUCUUGGCUGUGGUUAAUAAUGUUGAGUGAUUUGCUGUUCCAUCCAAUGGGAUAAGAUGCAAGAGGUUCAAUGACUUGGAGUGAGCUGAAAAAAUGAAGGGGAAGAGCUGAACCAACCAGAACUUUACAAAUUCACUUUAUGAUAAUGAAUACCUGCUCCCUUCCUUCUCAGAGGAAUCAAUUCCAUUUUUCCAUCCUGAGGGGCAAAGAAAAUGCCAGUCCAAUAGACUGUUAGUGUGGAUUGCCUCAAACUGCAAAGAAAGAAAAAUUGUCUAAGUGUCCAUGUGAGAGCAAGAACAGCUCCCAUCCUGCAUCUUAAUGGCAGUGGAAAAUGACCAGCAAUUCUGCAGCAGAUUACGGGGUCACAUCUCUCAUUACUGUGGGCUAUGCAGAAGGCAGAGUACAGAACUACAGAUACCACACUCCUGUCUGCUUCUCCAAAUACCCCUCCUUUCAGUGCCCUUUUCUUCCUUUAUUUUAAUAGCAAUGGAAUGUGCUGAACUACAAAUGCUGGUACUUGCUGUAUUUUCCCUCAUCCCAGGAGUUAUAUAUUCUUUUCCAUCCUGUAAAAAUAACCUGUUUAUUCCAUUUCUAAGUCCUGCAUGAGAUGGUUCUCAUUUUCCCUGUUCCCUGUGGUUUUAUCACAGCUGCCUGCCCACCUAUGUGCUUUGUCUCAGCUACAGAGUUUUCCUUCUCCAGAAAGCUGCCAAGCAGUUCUCUCCAGCAGCAGAGAAAUGAUGAGCCUGCAAAAUUGAAUUACUGAGCAUCCCCUAAAUCUACCACUCCUCACAGAGCUCUGGUCUCUUCUGAACUCAACCAGAACCAUCAGCUCUCAGGCAGGCAUGUGCAGGUGGAUCCCUGGAGCAUCUGUAGGACACAUUUAUGAGUAAUUACCUAUCAUCUGGAAGGUUACAGAGCAGCAGCUUAAGUGUGACCUGCCUUCUGCAUUUAUAUCCAAGUCAAGACUAAGAAAGAUCUCCAGCAGAUGGGAAAACUCUCCAGCCUCUCAGAGCCUCCCCAAGAUGGAUUAUUUACUAUCUGGCACCUCUCAGAGCAAUGAGAGCUUAUCCAACACAGUUUCUCCUGGAUCUACUUACUCUUUUUUAUUCCAUAAGGAUCCCAAUCAAGGUUCAUCAAAACACUCAAUGGGAUACUAGCCAGCAGAAGGGAUUUAUUUUUUAUUACCUAUUUUGUGACCUAUUUUUUAUUUGCAUGCUGCUAGGAAGUUGCAUGCCUGGUUUUGACACGCUGUGUGCACCACAUGCAGAAAUGUUUCCUGAGCAGUUCAUGCCAGAACCUUUCAGUCCCUGGGCUGUCUAACGCUGUGUUCCCUCUGAUUAUCUGCUGCUCUCAGUACAGGACUGUCCCUCACAAGGCAGACAAGUGCCACAGUCUCUCUCUGACCUGUGGGACAGUGUUGGGAAGGUGACAGCCUUGAGACCUGCUGGGACCCUCUCCAUGAGCUUCACACACAUCUCAGCAAAUUUACUCUUCUUCUCUAAUAUCCUGUUUUAUGCCACUCUGGCAGAGUGAAAAUAUAAGCCUAGCUUCAUUUGGCUUUGGCUGGUUUUGCAGAUUCAAUCUGGAUGCUGAAAUGUCCUUUAGUGUGGAAAACACAGCUGCUGUGAGAGGAGGAAAUUCCGUAACCAGCUGAGUGAGUUUGUGGUGUUUCAAGGGGCUCCUCUAGACAGAAAAGGUGUUUGUGGCUCCUGGGGCUGGACAUGCACAUUGCUCACUGCCUGUGCCUUCAGUCCACACCUACACUUGUUUGCUGUUAGCUUCUCCCAGCUGCAAGGAAGUCAUCCAGAUGGAAAUCACUUGUUUGGCUCUCUGUGAACAAAACCAAAUCCUUUUGGGGAGCUUCCAUCCAGCCAUCUAAAAGCUUGGCACAAAUUUGGAAGUACAGAGGAAUUUCUUGAAUUGCAACUUUCUAACAACCUUUUCCAAAAAUCAGAGGUUGAAUUUGGCCUGAGCUUUAGAAAAUAUCCAUGCAAAAACUUGUUAUGUGCAAACUGUUUCACUUUCCUUUAAACCAACAUGAAAAAAGAAGAAAAAGCUGACAUUUCAGUUCUACAAACACUUCAGUGCUGGCUCCACUCCAAGACCUCUGUUCCCUCUUCCCUUUCUACCUGGAGUGCCUUGAGACCACACAUUCAGAGAUUUUUGGGAAAUUUAGGAAUAACAUGUGCUAUGGAAAUCUUAUAUCAUAAUUUUGGAUAAUUAUUUUUCUUUUAAUUAAUCAAACAGUUAAACCAUGCAUGCAUUUGCAACAUGAAAAUUAAACACAUCUUAGGGAUGGUGAUAAUCAUGGGAAGCAAAACUUAUAGGAAAUAUAUGAAGUCUCUCCAACUGUAACCCCUAUUUUUUCCCUCAUGUCAUGAAGUCAUUGAUUCUUUAGAAUUUCCCAAAUGUGUCCUGAGUAAAAGCAGUGCCUUGCAGUGGGUUUGACACUAUUUUUGCCACGGUCAAAGUGGAAGCUCCCAUUGUCAGCAGCAAAACCCUGGAGGGAAUGUGCCAGCCAGGAGAGGUUUAAUGUUCUUUGUAUUGUACAACAAAAAGCGUUGUAAGGUUGAUUACAAUAAAAGCUUU